GACGAACGCUGGCGGCGUGCUUAACACAUGCAAGUCGAGCGGUAAGGACCCUUUCGGGGGUACACGAGCGGCGAACGGGUGAGUAACACGUGGGUGACCUGCCCUCCAGCUCUGGGAUAAGCCUGGGAAACCGGGUCUAAUACUGGAUAUGACUCCAUGACGCAUGUUGUGGGGUGGAAAGCCUUGUGCGGCUGAGGAUGGGCCCGCGGCCUAUCAGCUUGUUGGUGGGGUGANGGCCUACCAAGGCGACGACGGGUAGCCGGCCUGAGAGGGCGACCGGCCACACUGGGACUGAGACACGGCCCAGACUCCUACGGGAGGCAGCAGGUGGGGAAUCUUGCGCAAUGGGCGAAAGCCCUGACGCAGCGACGCCGCGUGAGGGAUGACGGCC
rnacentral:rRNA from 1 species